AGAGUUUGAUCAUGGCUCAGAUUGAACGCUGGCGGCAGGCCUAACACAUGCAAGUCGAACGGAAACAUGUCUAGCUUGCUAGAUGAUGUCGAGUGGCGGACGGGUGAGUAAUGCUUGGGAACUUGCCUUUGCGAGGGGGAUAACAGUUGGAAACGACUGCUAAUACCGCAUAAUGUCUUCGGACCAAACGGGGCUUCGGCUCCGGCGCAAAGAGAGGCCCAAGUGAGAUUAGCUAGUUGGUGAGGUAAAGGCUCACCAAGGCAACGAUCUCUAGCUGUUCUGAGAGGAAGAUCAGCCACACUGGGACUGAGACACGGCCCAGACUCCUACGGGAGGCAGCAGUGGGGAAUAUUGCACAAUGGGGGAAACCCUGAUGCAGCCAUGCCGCGUGUGUGAAGAAGGCCUUCGGGUUGUAAAGCACUUUCAGUUGUGAGGAAAAGUUAGUAGUUAAUACCUGCUAGCCGUGACGUUAACAACAGAAGAAGCACCGGCUAACUCCGUGCCAGCAGCCGCGGUAAUACGGAGGGUGCGAGCGUUAAUCGGAAUUACUGGGCGUAAAGCGCACGCAGGCGGUUUGUUAAGCUAGAUGUGAAAGCCCCGGGCUCAACCUGGGACGGUCAUUUAGAACUGGCAGACUAGAGUCUUGGAGAGGGGAGUGGAAUUCCAGGUGUAGCGGUGAAAUGCGUAGAUAUCUGGAGGAACAUCAGUGGCGAAGGCGACUCCCUGGCCAAAGACUGACGCUCAUGUGCGAAAGUGUGGGUAGCGAACAGGAUUAGAUACCCUGGUAGUCCACACCGUAAACGCUGUCUACUAGCUGUUUGUGGCUUUAAGCCGUGAGUAGCGAAGCUAACGCGAUAAGUAGACCGCCUGGGGAGUACGGCCGCAAGGUUAAAACUCAAAU
rnacentral:rRNA from 1 species